AGGGCGCACGGUGGAUGCCUUGGCACUAGGAGCCGACGAAGGACGUGACAAACGACGAUAUACCUUGGGUAGCUGUAAGUAAGCGAUGAUCCAGGGAUUUCCGAAUGGGGGAACCCAACAGGUAAUACCUGUUACCCACAUCUGUUAAGGAUGUGAGGAGGAAGACGCAGUGAACUGAAACAUCUAAGUAGCUGCAGGAAGAGAAAGCAAAAGCGAUUGCCUUAGUAGCGGCGAGCGAAACGGCAGAAGGGCAAACCGAAGAGUUUACUCUUCGGGGUUGUAGGACUGCAAUGUGGACUCAAAGAUUAUAGAAGAAUGAUUUGGGAAGAUCAGCCAAAGAGAGUAAUAGCCUCGUAUUUAAAAUAGUCUUUGUACCUAGCAGUAUCCUGAGUACGGCGGGACACGUGAAAUCCCGUCGGAAUCUGGGAGGACCAUCUCCCAACCCUAAAUACUCCCUAGUGACCGAUAGUGAACCAGUACCGUGAGGGAAAGGUGAAAAGCACCCCGGGAGGGGAGUGAAAUAGAACCUGAAACCGUGUGCCUACAACAAGUUCGAGCCCGUUAAUGGGUGAGAGCGUGCCUUUUGUAGAAUGAACCGGCGAGUUACGUUAUGAUGCGAGGUUAAGUUGAAGAGACGGAGCCGUAGGGAAACCGAGUCUGAACAGGGCGAAUUAGUAUCAUGACGUAGACCCGAAACCAUGUGACCUACCCAUGAGCAGGUUGAAGGUGCGGUAAGACGCACUGGAGGACCGAACCAGGGCACGUUGAAAAGUGCUUGGAUGACUUGUGGGUAGCGGAGAAAUUCCAAACGAACUUGGAGAUAGCUGGUUCUCUCCGAAAUAGCUUUAGGGCUAGCGUCGACAUUAGAGAUUCUUGGAGGUAGAGCACUGUUUGGGUGAGGGGUCCAUCCCGGAUUACCAAUCUCAGAUAAACUCCGAAUGCCAAUGAAUUAUGGUCGGCAGUCAGACUGCGAGUGCUAAGAUCCGUAGUCGAAAGGGAAACAGCCCAGACCACCAGCUAAGGUCCCAAAAUAAUUGUUAAGUGGAAAAGGAUGUGGGGUUGCACAGACAACUAGGAUGUUAGCUUAGAAGCAGCUAUUCAUUCAAAGAGUGCGUAAUAGCUCACUAGUCGAGUGACCCUGCGCCGAAAAUGUACCGGGGCUAAAACAAUUUACCGAAGCUGUGGAUACCUUUAUAGGUAUGGUAGGAGAGCGUUCUAUGUGUGAUGAAGGUAUACCGUGAGGAGUGCUGGAACGCAUAGAAGUGAGAAUGCCGGUAUGAGUAGCGAAAGACAGGUGAGAAUCCUGUCCACCGUAAGACUAAGGUUUCCAGGGGAAGGCUCGUCCGCCCUGGGUUAGUCGGGACCUAAGGAGAGACCGAAAGGUGUAUCCGAUGGACAACAGGUUGAUAUUCCUGUACUAGAGUAUGUAGUGAUGGAGGGACGCAGUAGGCUAACUAAAGCAGACGAUUGGAAGAGUCUGUCUAAGCAGUGAGGUGUGAAUUGAGUCAAAUGCUUAAUUCUAUAACAUUGAGCUGUGAUGGGGAGCGAAGUUUAGUAGCGAAGUUAGUGACGUCACACUGCCAAGAAAAGCUUCUAGCGUUUAAACAUACUCUACCCGUACCGCAAACCGACACAGGUAGUCGAGGCGAGUAGCCUCAGGUGAGCGAGAGAACUCUCGUUAAGGAACUCGGCAAAAUGACCCCGUAACUUCGGGAGAAGGGGUGCUGACUUUAGGUCAGCCGCAGUGAAUAGGCCCAAGCAACUGUUUAUCAAAAACACAGCUCUCUGCUAAAUCGUAAGAUGAUGUAUAGGGGGUGACGCCUGCCCGGUGCUGGAAGGUUAAGAGGAGUGCUUAGCGUAAGCGAAGGUAUGAAUUGAAGCCCCAGUAAACGGCGGCCGUAACUAUAACGGUCCUAAGGUAGCGAAAUUCCUUGUCGGGUAAGUUCCGACCCGCACGAAAGGCGUAAUGAUUUGGGCACUGUCUCAACGAGAGACUCGGUGAAAUUUUAGUACCUGUGAAGAUGCAGGUUACCCGCGACAGGACGGAAAGACCCCAUGGAGCUUUACUGCAGUUUGAUAUUGAGUGUCUGUACCACAUGUACAGGAUAGGUAGGAGUCUAAGAGAUCGGGACGCCAGUUUCGAAGGAGACGCUGUUGGGAUACUACCCUUGUGUUAUGGCCACUCUAACCCAGAUAGGUGAUCCCUAUCGGAGACAGU
rnacentral:rRNA from 1 species